AUUGAACGCUGGCGGCAGGCCUAACACAUGCAAGUCGAGCGGAGCGGCGGACGGGUGCGUAAUACCUAGGAAUCUGCCUGGUAGUGGGGGAUAACGUACGGAAACGGGCGCUAAUACCGCAUACUAUCAGAUUAGCCUAGGUCGGAAUAGCGAGUUGGUGGGGUAAAGGCCUACCAAGGCGACGAUCCGUAACGGGGCUGCGAGGAUGAUCAGUCACACUGGAACGGGGACACGGGCAAGACGCCUACGGGAGGCAGAAGUGGGGAAUAUUGGACAAGGGGCGAAAGCCUGAUGCAGCCAUGCCGCGUGUGUGAAGAAGGUCUUCGGAUUGUAAAGCACGUUAAGUUGGGAGGCGUUACCAACAGAAUAAGCACCGGCUAACUCCGUGCCAGCAGCCGCGGUAAUUC
rnacentral:rRNA from 1 species